AACGAACGCUGGUGGCGUGUUUUAUACAUGCAAGUCGAGCGAGGACAGUAGCUUGCUACUGAGCCGAGCGGCGAACGGGUGAGUAACGCGUAAGCAAUCUGCCCCACAAUCGGGAACAACCGUGCCAACGCGCGGCUAAUGCCGGAUAUUGUGUCCUACUGCAUAGUAGGUUAACGAAAGAUUUAUCGUUGUGGGAUUGAGCUUGCGUCCGAUUAGCUAGUUGGCGGGGUAAUAGCCCACCAAGGCGACGAUCGGUAGCCGGCCUGAGAGGGUGAUCGGCCACAUUGGGACCUGAGAUACGGCCCAGACUCCUACGGGAGGCAGCAGCUAAGAUAUUCCGCAAUGGACGAAAGUCUGACGGAGCGACGCCGCGUGGAUGAAGAAGGCCGAAAGGUUGUAAAGUUCUUUUGCUAGGGGAGAAUAAGUGAGGGAGGAAUGCCCUCAUGAUGACAAGGACUAGCGAAUAAGCCCCGGCCAACUACGUGCCAGCAGCCGAC
rnacentral:rRNA from 1 species